UACGGAGGGAGCUAGCGUUGUUCGGAAUUACUGGGUGUAAAGCGCACGUAGGCGGCUUUGUAAGUUAGAGGUGAAAGCCCGGGGCUCAACCCCGGAAUUGCCUUUAAGACUGCAUCGCUUGAAUCCGGGAGAGGUGAGUGGAAUUCCGAGUGUAGAGGUGAAAUUCGUAGAUAUUCGGAAGAACACCAGUGGCGAAGGCGGCUCACUGGACCGGUAUUGACGCUGAGGUGCGAAAGCGUGGGGAGCAAACAGG
rnacentral:rRNA from 1 species